UUAGAGUUAAUAAUAUUUAUUAAAGAAUUAUAAUAGUAAAGAUUAAAUAAUAAUAAUAAUUAUAAGACUGAUAUAUGUGUAAAUAUUAAUAAAAUAUUAACUGACAUUGAGGGAUGAAAAUUAAAGUAG
rnacentral:rRNA from 1 species